AGAUUCCUACGGGAGGCAGCAGUGGGGAAUAUUGCACAAUGGGCGAAAGCCUGAUGCAGCAACGCCGCGUGAGCGAUGAAGGCCUUCGGGUCGUAAAGCUCUGUCCUCAAGGAAGAUAAUGACGGUACUUGAGGAGGAAGCCCCGGCUAACUACGUGCCAGCAGCCGCGGUAAUACGUAGGGGGCUAGCGUUAUCCGGAAUUACUGGGCGUAAAGGGUGCGUAGGUGGUUUCUUAAGUCAGAGGUGAAAGGCUACGGCUCAACCGUAGUAAGCCUUUGAAACUGGGAAACUUGAGUGCAGGAGAGGAGAGUGGAAUUCCUAGUGUAGCGGUGAAAUGCGUAGAUAUUAGGAGGAACACCAGUUGCGAAGGCGGCUCUCUGGACUGUAGCUGACACUGAGGCACGAAAGCGUGGGGAGCAAACAGGAUUAGAUACCCUGGUAGUCCACGCCGUAAACGAUGAGUACUAGCUGUCGGAGGUUACCCCCUUCGGUGGCGCAGCUAGCGCAUUAAGUACUCCGCCUGGGAAGUACGAAUCACGAAUU
rnacentral:rRNA from 1 species